rnacentral:rRNA from 1 species
UACGAAGGGGGCUAGCGUUGUUCGGAAUUACUGGGCGUAAAGCGCACGUAGGCGGACUACUAAGUCAGGGGUGAAAUCCCGGGGCUCAACCCCGGAACUGCCUUUGAUACUGGUAGUCUCGAGUCCGGAAGAGGUGAGUGGAAUUCCGAGUGUAGAGGUGAAAUUCGUAGAUAUUCAGAGGAACACCAGUGGCGAAGGCGGCUCACUGGUCCGGUACUGACGCUGAGGUGCGAAAGCGUGGGGAGCAAACAGG